GAUGAACGCUAGCGGCAGGCUUAAUACAUGCAAGUCAGGGGGGUAGCAAUACAACCGGCGCACGGGUGAGUAACGCGUACACAACAUACCAUAUACUGGAGUAUAGCUUUGGGAAACUGAAGGUAAUCCUCCAUAACAUUGCGAGAGGGCAUCUGAUUGUAAUUAAAGUUUCGGCGGUAUAUGAUUGGUGUGCGUUUGAUUAGCUAGUUGGUAGGGUAACGGCCUACCAAGGCGACGAUCAAUAGCUGGCGUGAGAGCGCGACCAGCCACACUGGAACUGAGACACGGUCCAGACUCCUACGGGAGGCAGCAGUAGGGAAUAUUGGACAAUGGAGGAAACUCUGAUCCAACCAUGCCGCGUGAUAGAUGAAGGCCCUCUGGGUUGUAAAUAUCUUUAUCUGGGAAGAAACACUCCUAUUCUUAGGAACUUGACGGUACCAGAGGAAUAAGCACCGGCUAACUCCGUGCCAGCAGCCGCGGUAA
rnacentral:rRNA from 1 species